CACGUAGGAGGCAAACGUUAUCCGGAUUUACUGGGCGUAAAGCGCGUGUAGGUGGUUCUGUAAGUAGGGCGUGAAAGCUCCCGGCUCAACUGGGAGAUGCCGUUCUAAACUGCAGAGCUAGAGGAUGGUAGAGGGAGGUGGAAUUCCAGGUGUAGCGGUGGAAUGCGCAGAUAUCUGGAGGAACACCAGUGGCGAAGGCGGCCUCCUGGACCAUUCCUGACACUCAGACGCGAAAGCUAGGGUAGCAAACGGG
rnacentral:rRNA from 1 species